rnacentral:rRNA from 1 species
UACGUAGGGGGCAAGCGUUAUCCGGAUUUACUGGGUGUAAAGGGAGCGUAGACGGUUACGCAAGUCUGGAGUGAAAGGCGGGGGCCCAACCCCCGGACUGCUUUGGAAACUGUAUAACUGGAGUGCAGGAGAGGUAAGUGGAAUUCCUAGUGUAGCGGUGAAAUGCGUAGAUAUCGCGCAGAACUCCGAUUGCGAAGGCAGCAUGCCGGCUCCACACUGACGCUGAGGCACGAAAGCGUGGGUAUCGAACAGG